rnacentral:tRNA from 1 species
GGGCCCGUAGCUCAGUGGUAGAGCGACAGCCUUUUAAGCUGUGCGUCGGAGGUUCGAUCCCUCUCGGGCUCA